ACCUUUGCAUGUAGCUCAUUUAUUGUGCCUUCCACGUGAGCACUCACGAAGUUGAAUGAAUUCCUGAAAAAAAGUUACGGAUAGAUCACAGAACCCAAAUUCUGCCUUUAUUUACACGCCUGCAGGUUUCUUGUUCUGUUUGUUCUCUAGCUAAAGUUCACAUGCAUACAGUUGAGAGCACGGAGUUUUUUCUUGUUGCAAGUGUUUUAAAACAGACCAAGGUAUAUUUUGUGAAGGUUUAUCUCAUUGUUAAAUUCCUUGAGGAACAACUACGUGGGUUUUAUAUUUUUUGCUAAAAACACCCAAAACCUAUAAAACAAGGAUUCAUAAACUUUACAAUGAGAUACUGGCAACAGGGUAGCAAAAAUGCCUGGUUUCUUCUGUACCCUGUUUUCUUUUCCUCAAGGAGUGAGACUCCUUUCUAAAACUUUCUUUGUAGGUCUAUUAACUCUUUGAAAUUCAGAAUACUACCUGUGGAUUGGUCUGUCUGAUGCAAUAUACUUUGGGGAAAAUGUUAGAAGUAUUUGCAAGACUUUAGAAAACUGAAACUAAAUCUAAGUAACACAGAUGCACUUUCAAAUUUAAUAUUAUCAUAAACUUCUUUUAGUAAAAAAUGUGAUCUUGGUACUCCCUUAUUAGACAAGCAAAGAGCUGCCAUAGUGAUGCCAAUUAAUUCUUUGCAACAGGCCAUAAGAGAGGAGAUACUUGAUGAAAAUAAAUAUGGUAUUUGCUGCUUCUUCUGAAGCAAUGAGAAGAAAAUGGAGGUAGAGGAAGAUGAAUUUAAAGUAAUAAUCUAAAAUAAUGACACUGGUGGAGAUAAUCUUUAUGCUGAUAUUCAAGAAACCGUUGACCUAAUCAUCAGUGUCCUGCCUGUCAAUGUCCUGAAAACCUUCAUUUUGUUUCUUUCCUCACCCCAUCCCCAUUUUAGCAAUAAACUUUGAUGAGGAAGUGAACAGCUUUUGUGAAGUAUGAAUUUCUCUGAAUUAGUAACAUAUAAUAUUAGUGGCAGCUGUGUGCUAUGUUUAGUGGCUUGUUUUGCUUGGGUACUUUGCAAGAUGAACAGGGAAAAGCUCUUAUAUCUGCUAAAGACAGAUACCUGUAUGCACAUCUUUGGCUUCAUUCUUUCUGGAAAUGUAUCCCUUCACUUCCUCCACAGGUACAGAAUAAUGCAAAAGGAAUUAGGAUUUCUUCUUGUCUGUCCAGUGUAAAUGCACAUCACUGUAAUGAGACUUUCAUAAACCAACUUUCAAGCCCUGACUAUCUCCUUUAACUUGAGAAAUAACAUUAUUCCUCCUCUCUGCUUUCUGCUUGUUAUUUUGUGUUUGCUUUCUUUUUUCUUCUGCUUGCUCUGGUACUGGUGCUGAAUGUCGAUGAGAGGAAAACUUGACUCACUUCCAAGAAGUCUGUUUCAGUGAUUCCUUCCACUACUGUACCGUGGAAAGUUUUCUACCAGAUGCAGUAGAAGAUGGCAGAUCUGGCUGUGCUGGGGGUGCUUUACCCAUGACUGGCACAAAGACCAUUCUGCUCUUUAUCUGUGAGAUAAGAAAAUCUGUAUUUUCUCAAAGAGGUGCUGUAAAGAAAUGGUGUGCUGUAUUCAGAGAACAAAAACCUCUUCUCACUGAAACAAGUCUGAGGUAUUUUUUAUUUUUUAACUCUGUAUUUGAACUGCCAAAAAAUGAAUAUUAUAAAGUACAAAGAAAAUGGUGUACAUUUCAGUCAUCCCUUUAUUUUCUUUUGCUGUUUUUCAUCAGACUAAUGUAUGCAGCAAAGGCCAAGACCUGUUUGACUGGGAUGCCUGCAGUUACCUGUUUAAUCUGGAGUUAGAAUGUAAAUAGAAAUGUAAUUGUUUUCCAAGUAUCUCUUAAAUUUCCCUUUCAGAAUGUCUAGCAGUGUCUACAAACUUAUAAAGGAGUUAUAGGUCCUGUCAUUUUUGAAAUUUAGAUAAUCUCAUUUGAAACUCUGAGUCCAAUACAUGUACAUUUCUCACUUUAAUUUAUGUGAAUUUCUGCUACCCUUGGUUGUUAAUGAGAUGUUGUAGAAUUCAUUUAUUAAAACUAAAUGGAUGUGCACAGUAAUGAGCACGGAGUAGUGUUUGUAACAGUUAUGGUGAUAAUGUGUUGGAGCCAUUAUGGAGGGAAAAUGCUGUUUCACAUGAUUCGAUGUAUUUAUUUUUCUCACACUUUACUGAGCAGUCUGGUUCUGCUUGGC